GAUGAACGCUGGCGGCGUGCCUAAUACAUGCAAGUAGAACGCUGAAGGAGGAGCUUGCUCUUCUGGAUGAGUUGCGAACGGGUGAGUAACGCGUAGGUAACCUGCCUGGUAGCGGGGGAUAACUAUUGGAAACGAUAGCUAAUACCGCAUGACAACAGUUAUUGCAUGAUAACUGUUUAACCGGGGCAACUGCUCCACUACCCGAUGGACCUGCGUUGUAUUAGCUAGUUGGUGAGGUAACGGCUCACCAAGGCGACGAUACAUAGCCGACCUGAGAGGGUGAUCGGCCACACUGGGAGUGAGACACGGCCCAGACUCCUACGGGAGGCAGCAGUAGGGAAUCUUCGGCAAUGGACGGAAGUCUGACCGAGCAACGCCGCGUGAGUGAAGAAGGUUGUCGGAUCGUAAAGCUCUGUUGUAAGAGAAGAACGAGUGUGAGAGUGGAAAGUUCACACUGUGACGGUAUCUGACCAGAAAGGGACGGCUAACUACGUG
rnacentral:rRNA from 1 species